rnacentral:lncRNA from 9 species
GGGCAGGGGCCUGGGUUGAAAAGUCUAAGCUGAUGACCAUGUUGAUUGUUGUUUUAAUCACUGGCUCCUCUUUCUUACAGGUCAUUGUGAAGUGAAGUCAGUGGUGCUAGUCACGAAAUAUCACUCCAGGCUUGGUGGGUGAACCUUGCUUUGGUUCUGCAAUAUCUACAGCAUCAACUGUGUUUCCCAGGUCUAUAUUCUCUUCAAUCAGGGGCUGUUGGAGACAGAGCAUGGCGUGUGCUAUUUUUUGUUCGAUCAAGAUCAUGUCAAAGAAAACCCAGGCACUUCUGCUAAGACAUCUGGAAAGAAGUUGGCCCAGCAUGGUCAGGGCGGCGGCCCUGGUGUCAUCCACUCUAUACUAUGUCAGCAAGAGCACCCCCGCCACCCCAGCCUCUGGAAGUGAGUGGGAUGCUGAUAGCAGAAGGAAAAGAAUCGGGACAAAAGGCAUCGAGGAGAUCUAGAGUGCCAGGCCCACCUCAGACCAGUGUAGCGCCCGCCACAGCGACGGCACUGAUGCCAGGCGCGUGUCUGCUUCUCCAGCAGCGUGGGAGACGCACUUCACCUGGGGGCUCCACCCUUCCCAGGUUACAGUUGCUGCGCAGAAGAACAGUUGCCUCUGCUGAUAGGGACUGUCUCAUUGCACCCCUUUUCCAGGCCAUCUGUCUGACCUGGACCCAUUCCAAACACUACGGCUUUGUUGGCAGAAUGGUCUUCCUGCUACAGAAGUUUUGUAAUCUGCUAAUUGACAGGGUAAGGAAAAUUUAUAUUUGGGUUACAGCUGAAAAGUUGGAUGUUUCUUUGAUGGGGCUUUAAAUACUGACAUGUGCUGCGCUGGUUUUUGAUUUUAGGCAUCCUCCUUUGUGCGCGAGCACACGCUCUUUUUCCCUGUGUUCUCUGCCUCAUUGAGGACACGGCAUCCUUUCGAGAAGAACAGCAAUACGAUCUACUGGGGAAUUAUCCUCUACUUAGUUUACUCAUUAAGCAAUGAUUUUAUUAUUAUUAUCUCUUUGUAGUAUGAGACAGAUGGCAAAGAAAGAGUUUGCUUUAUUGAACAAGAUGCAUGGCAAAUCUCCAUGAAUGGUUAAUAUCUUCAGUAGUCAUUCUGUCUAAUAAGCAUCUUGGCUUUUGCACAGGGCCUGGUUCUACACUCAGCCCUUAGUUUAGGUUAAAUGUUCUCAACCCUCUCUCUGUACACAUGGCUGGGGGCAGAAGAAUCUUAGAGAAGGAAAUAGCAUUAAAAUUGUGCUGUUCUAGGGAGUUCCCUUGUGGUGGAUCAGGUUAAGGAUCCAGUGUGGUCACUGCAGUGGCUCAGGUCGCUGCUGUGGCGUGGGUUUGAUCCCCGGCCCUGGCUGCCAGCAAGGCCAAAACAGAAAUCAUGCCAUUGAUAUGUAUGGUUGUCCUCAUCUUGUGCAGUAACACUCAGUGAUCAAGCCCCGGCCAGACCCAUGUCCCUAAAGCACGUGCUCGUGUUGGGGGCCGUGCACGAGUGUGGAGCAAUAGCCUGCCUCUGGAGCCAAGCAGCCCCCUCAACCUGCAUCAUUACAGCACCCGUCACAAAGAAAGAUGAGAAUGAAAGAAGAUUUCUUCCCUACCUUUGAAAACUUCAAAGAAAUUGUUCCCAAUCUGGUUCUGAUGAUCCAUGUCUCAGGCCAAGCGCACGCAAAGGUUGGAAAUCUGCACACUGAUCGGAAAUAGUUUUGGGAAAGUCGGAUUUAAUCCCACGAGCCCAAUGAUCACUACCAAGAACGAUCAGGGAAAACCAAAGUCCACAGCAAAUUUUAAUUUGCCAACUGCAUAAAAUGUUCAAAAGAGC